rnacentral:rRNA from 1 species
AGUAAUCGCGAAUCAGAAUGUCGCGGUGAAUACGUUCCCGGGCCUUGUACACACCGCCCGUCACACCAUGGGAGUUGGAAGCACCCGAAGCCUGUGACCUAACCGUAAGGGAGGAGCAGUCGAAGGUGAAGCCAGUGACUGGGGUGAAGUCGUAACAAGGUAGCCGUAUCGGAAGGUGCGGCUGGAUCACCUCCUUU